CGGGGUAUGGCCUAAUUGGCUAGGGCGCCUGCUUUGGGAGCAGGAGAUUCUGGGUUCAAGUCCCAGUACCCCGA
rnacentral:tRNA from 1 species